rnacentral:rRNA from 1 species
UACGUAGGUGGCAAGCGUUGUCCGGAUUUAUUGGGUUUAAAGGGUGCGUAGGCGGUUCCAUAAGUCAGUGGUGAAAUACGGCAGCUCAACUGUCGAGGUGCCAUUGAUACUGCGGAACUUGAGUGUCGAUGAGGCAGGCGGAAUUGACGGUGUAGCGGUGAAAUGCUUAGAUAUCGUCAAGAACACCGAUAGCGAAGGCAGCUUGCCAAGCAACAACUGACGCUCAGGCACGAAAGUGCGGGGAUCAAACAGG